UUGCGGUAGUUGUUAUUCUCAUCAAAAUUAAAGCUCCAAGAACCAACAAUGGUGACCCGGAAGACAAAGCAUUGACAAGCAAAUGUUCGAAAAGUCAAGCUCCAAGAACCAACAAUGGUGAUCCGGAAGACAAAGCAUUGACAAGCAAAUGUUCGAAAAGUCAAGCUUCGUUUCCUCUGAUUGUAAGUCCCAACAAUGGUGACUCAGAUAACAUUAUGUUGACAAGCAAAUGUUCGAAGAGCCAAGUUUCGCAAGACGAUCAUGCAUGUCGGAAGCGUCGGAAAGAGAAUAGUUGCAGUUCAAUAAACUAAAGUGAAGAUUU